AGCAGCCGCGGUAAUUCCAGCUCCAAUAGCGUAUAUUAAAGUUGUUGCAGUUAAAAAGCUCGUAGUUGAAUUUCGGGAUCAAUAUGCCGGUCAUGCCUUGGUAUGCACUGGUAUCUUUGAUUUCUCCCUUCUGACGAACUUUGAUGUCAUUAAUUUGGUGUCAUAGGGAAUCAGGACUGUUACUUUGAAAAAAUUAGAGUGUUUAAAGCAAGCUCACGCUUGAAUACAUUAGCAUGGAAUAAUGAAAUAGGACGUUUGAUUCUAUUUUGUUGGUUUCUAGGAUCGACGUAAUGAUUAAUAGGGAUAGUUGGGGGCAUUAGUAUUCAAUUGUCAGAGGUGAAAUUCUUGGAUUUAUUGAAGACUAACUACUGCGAAAGCAUUUGCCAAGGAUGUUUUCAUUAAUCAAGAACGAAAGUUAGGGGAUCGAAGACGAUCAGAUACCGUCGUAGUCUUAACCAUAAACUAUGCCGACUAGGGAUCGGAU
rnacentral:rRNA from 1 species